GUCAGGAGCAAGGGAAACCCUUCUCCUUUAAUUCCAUACAAGAACUCAAGAAUUGAAGCUGAAUUAGAGAAGAGAUCGAAUGCAUGAGGCUAGAUAUAGUUUAAUCUAAGUGUAUUGAUCAAAAGGAGUCAUUUCAACAUGAGCACAAAUAUGGAAGCGACACGGGUCGAAGGUAAACACGGAAGCUUUGUGUAAAUUCGGACGCACGAGGUUAGUCGGAUAUUCACGACGGACUAGUGAUCGAGGGUCGAGUUAAGAUCAAGGAUUGUACGGGGAUGUGAUCACAUGUUGGAAACCAUUUGUAAUGUAAUUUUCUUGAUUAGGUAUGAAUAAUGUAAAAGAUUUAA